UUCUCAUAACGAUAUAAGGAAAUCUCAUCGCUCAAAAUGAAAUUCUUCAACAACUCAUUCUUCUUCUUCUUCUUCUUCUUCUUCUUCCAGUACAAAUUCUUCUUCUUCUAAGUCUGCUACUUAUAGUUUGCCGACUAUCGCAAACUGAAAGUACCAUGGACAAUUAAUCUAGUAAUCAAGAUCCAACCAGCAUGGGAGAAGAGCCGUAUAAUGUCGAAGAGCAAAAGCUGAAUUAAUUUAUUGUUUUUUCAAUGUUUUUAACUCAAAUUUUAAUUUUCGAAUUUUGUGACGAUUCUCUCCAUGAAAUAAAUUUUAGUUUUUUUUUGAAUAUU